rnacentral:rRNA from 1 species
CGCGUGAGGUGAUGACGGCCUAUCGGGUUGUAAACCUCUUUCGUUGGGGACGAAACGAAAGUGACGGUACCUACAUAGUAAUCACCGGCCAACUACAUGCCACCACCCGCGGUAAUACGUAAGGUGCCAGCGUUGUCCGGAAUUAGCGGGCGUAAAGAGCUCUUACGGGGUCUGUCACGUCCGCUGGGAAAGCCCGAGGCUCAACCUCGGGCCUGCGGUCGAUACGGGCAAACUAGAGUACUGCAGGGGAGACUGGAAUUCCUGGUGUAGCGGUGAAAUGCGCAGAUAUCAGGAGGAACACCGGUGGCGAAGGCGGGUCUUUGGGCAGUAACUGACGCUCAGGAGCGAAAGCGUGGGGAGCGAACAGGAUUAGAUACCCUGGUAGUCCAUGCCGUACACGUUGGGCGCUAGGUGUGGGGGCCAUUCCACGGACUCCGUGCCGCAUCUAACGCAUUAAGCGCCCCGCCUGGGGAGUACGGCCGCAAGGCUAAAACUCAAAGGAAUUGACGGGGGCCCGCACAAGCGGCGGAGCAUGUUGCUUAAUUCGAUGCAACGCGAAGAACCUUACCUAGGCUUGACAUGCACGGAAAUCUCGUAGAGAUACGGGGUGCCUUUG